UUCUUUCAAGUGGAUGUUGCAUGUGGGAGGGUUGGAGCUGCAUAUUUCAAAUUCAAGCAUCUGGAUGAUGGAAUAUACGAAGCUUUUGAAAUUUCAAGGUAAAGUCGAGCACAUUUCUCUAAUGAAGCCAAAGAUUUGUAUUUUCAACAUUAUUGUAAUUGUAACUGUAAUUGAUUGAAUGAAUUCGAUUGUAAUUGAUUAUAAUUGUAAUUGAUUGAAUGAAGGAUUAUAAUUG